AUCGCUUCUCGGCCUUUUGGCUAAGAUCAAAGUGUAGUAUCUGUUCUUAUCGGCUUAAUCUCCGGUACGUUGUCUAUUGACAACUUCGAGAUUAACUGAUUUUUGGAAACGGGAUGGUUUGCAGGGGCUUGCUCCUCGCCAUCCACGGGUCGGCCCGGUAUUGCACUGCCUCCGGGAUCGGCCCUUCCCUU
rfam:Pristionchus pacificus strain PS312 contig11324, whole genome shotgun sequence.